rnacentral:rRNA from 1 species
UACAGAGGAUGCAAGCGUUAUCCGGAAUGAUUGGGCGUAAAGCGUCUGUAGGUGGCUUUUUAAGUCCGCCGUCAAAUCCCAGGGCUCAACUCUGGACAGGCGGUGGAAACUACCAAGCUGGAGUACGGUAGGGGCAGAGGGAAUUUCCGGUGGAGCGGUGAAAUGCGUAGAGAUCGGAAAGAACACCCGUGGCUAAGGCGGUUCUCUAGUACGGUACUGACGCUGAGACGCGAAAGCGUGGGGAGCGAACAGG